rnacentral:rRNA from 1 species
GAUGAACGCUAGCGGCAGGCUUAACACAUGCAAGUCGAGGGGCAGCACGGGUAGCAAUACCUGGUGGCGACCGGCGCAAGGGUGCGUAACGCGUGAGCAACAUGCCCUAUACAGGGGGAUAAUCCAGGGAAACUUGGUCUAAUAUCCCAUAGCAUUUAGAGGAGGCAUCUUCACUAAAUUAAAGCUUCGGUGGUAUAGGAUUGGCUCGCGUGACACUAGCUAGAUGGUGAGGUAACGGCCCACCAUGGCUAUGAUGUCUAGGGGUUCUGAGAGGAAGACCCCCCAACUGGGACUGAGACACGGCCCAGACUCCUACGGGAGGCAGCAGUGAGGAAUAUUGGACAAUGGAUGGAAAUCUGAUCCAGCCAUGCCGCGUGCAGGAAGACGGCCCUAUGGGUUGUAAACUGCUUUUAUAUGGGAGCAAUAAGGUUUACGAGUAGACCGAUGAGAGUACCAUAUGAAUAAGCAUCGGCUAAC